rfam:Helianthus annuus linkage group 4, whole genome shotgun sequence.
AGACCGUGGUGUGGGCACUUCCUUAAUAGCUCCUUGAACCUUCCCAUAUUUCGUACAAGGAUUCCCCGUCUUCUUGAGAGUAGGUGUUAAUCUCGAUCAUGAGUUU